rnacentral:rRNA from 1 species
GAUGAACGCUGGCGGCGUGCUUAACACAUGCAAGUCGAACGAAGCAUUUAGGACAGAUUACUUCGGUUUGAAGUUCUUUAUGACUGAGUGGCGGACGGGUGAGUAACGCGUGGGUAACCUGCCUUGUACUGGGGGAUAGCAGCUGGAAACGGCUGGUAAUACCGCAUAAGCGCACAAUGUUGCAUGACAUGGUGUGAAAAACUCCGGUGGUAUAAGAUGGACCCGCGUCUGAUUAGCUAGUUGGUGAGAUAACAGCCCACCAAGGCGACGAUCAGUAGCCGACCUGAGAGGGUGACCGGCCACAUUGGGACUGAGACACGGCCCAGACUCCUACGGGAGUCAGCAGUGGGGAAUACUGCACAAUGGAGGAAACUCUGAUGCAGCGACGCCGCGUGAGUGAAGAAGUAAUUCGUUAUGUAAAGCUCUAUCAGCAGGGAAGAUAGUGACGGUACCUGACUAAGAAGCUCCGGCUAAAUACGUG